UACGUAGGGUGCAAGCGUUGUCCGGAAUUAUUGGGCGUAAAGAGCUCGUAGGCGGUUUGUCGCGUCGGCUGUGAAAACUCGGGGCUCAACCCCGAGCCUGCAGUCGAUACGGGCAAACUCGAGUGCGGUAGGGGAGACUGGAAUUCCUGGUGUAGCGGUGAAAUGCGCAGAUAUCAGGAGGAACACCGGUGGCGAAGGCGGGUCUCUGGGCAGUAACUGACGCUGAGGAGCGAAAGCGUGGGGAGCGAACAGG
rnacentral:rRNA from 1 species